GAUGAAGAACGCAGCGAAAUGCGAUAAGUAAUGUGAAUUGCAGAAUUCAGUGAAUCAUCGAAUCUUUGAACGCACCUUGCGCUCCUUGGUAUUCCGAGGAGCAUGCCUGUUUGAGUGUCAUGAAUAUCUCAAUCCUUGAUUUGUUUUUUUUAAUGGAUUAAGGACUUGGACUUUGGAGGUUGCUGGCGUCUGUUGGCUCCUCUCUAAAUGCAUUAGCAGAGUCUUUCAAGAUGCUGCCUCGGUGUGAUAAUUGUCUAUGCCGUGUGUAUGCGCCUUGCUUGUUGCUACCCCGCUUGUACAAGGCGGUUGUGUGGCUGGGACAAAGCUUCUAGCUGUCUGUAAAGACAACAUUUGACAUCUGACCUCAAAUCAGGUAGGACUACCCGCUGAACUUAAGCAUAUCAAUAAGCGGAGGA
rnacentral:misc_RNA from 1 species